UCUUUUCUUUUGAUAGGAGAGUUUUUAAAACCAGUGUUAUUUUUGUAAGUUUAAGAGAAGUUUGUGUAUUGAAUUUUUAAUAUUAAAGAGCUUUGUUAAACUUAGACUUAAGUUUAGGUCAUUUUGGGGGUUUAGCUCAGUUGGCUAGAGCAUCGGCUUUGUAAGCCGAGGGUCAAGGGUUCGAGUCCCUUAACCUCCAUUGGGCUUAUGUCCUAAAUUGUAAUUAAGUAUGUUUUUAAGCAACUUUAUUAAAGUAAUUGUUGGAAUGUGAAACAGAGGAAGUUAAAAUUUCUGGGUUAAGUUGAGAUCUGUUGAUAUUAAGAAGAAUCUCUAGAAGCAAAAGCAAGCUUUCGAUAAAACCCGAAGUUGUUUCGCUAAAGUGCAAGGAUUAAACAGGAUUGUAUUUUCCAGUAGCCUAUUUUAUAAACGAUCUGCAUUUAGUAAAUAGUUUUUAGUUAGGAAAUAAUGUAUAUUGCUAAGUGUGAUGUC
rnacentral:misc_RNA from 1 species